rnacentral:misc_RNA from 1 species
GAUGAAGAACGUAGCGAAAUGCGAUACUUGGUGUGAAUUGCAGAAUCCCGUGAACCAUCGAGUCUUUGAACGCAAGUUGCGCCCGAAGCCACUAGGCCGAGGGCACGCCUGCCUGGGCGUCACACGCCGUUGCCCCCCCAUCUACUCCUUCGGGAUUGCGGGGGGGCGGAUGAUGGCCUCCCGUGCGCCUAGCCGCGCGGUUGGCAUAAAUACCAAGUCCUCGGCGACGCACGCCACGACAAUCGGUGGUUGCGAAACCUCGGUUGCCCGUCGUGUGCGUUCGUCGCGCAUCGAGGGCUCGAAAAAAUGCUCGGCUCCGGCUGGGCUUUCAACGCGACCCAGGUCAGGCGGGGUUACCCGCUGAAUUUAAGCAUAUCAAUAAGCGGAGGA